rnacentral:lncRNA from 1 species
CCAACCAUUAACAUAACAAUACCAAGUGGAUCCAACAAACAGAUAUUCAGACCCAAGUGUGGCUCGACAAACCUAAGCAUUGAUCUAAAGGUACAUCAUGAUAGUCAUAUGAUGAAUGAUAAUUCCAAUAAGUAAUAGAUACCAGGCGUGUGGCACCUCCAAUGCCUAUUUGGAACAUUGGACUCAUUAUCACGCACCUUAAUGGGAGGCUAUGACUAAGUUAUCUCAUAACUCUCUCAUUUUAUGAACCUAAUAAUUUAGAGAAUUUGAUUUCAUUAAUCUAAAAAUAAAAGAAGAAGAUGACCUGCC